UGGCAGGUACAGAGGGGUGCUACCGGGUGACCGGAUGCCGAUCUCGAAAACCUGUCCCAGUUCGGACUGGAGUCUGCAACCCGACUCCACGAAGUUGGAUUCGCUAGUAAUCGCGCAUCAGCCAUGGCGCGGUGAAUACGUUCCCGGGCCUUGUACACACCGCCCGUCAAGCCAUGGGAGCCGGGGGCGCCUGAAGUCCGGGACCGCGAGGACCGGCCUAAGGCGAAACUGGUGACUGGGGCUAAGUCGUAACAAGGUAUC
rnacentral:rRNA from 1 species